rnacentral:rRNA from 1 species
AACGAACGCUGGCGGCAUGCCUAACACAUGCAAGUCGAACGAGACCUUCGGGUCUAGUGGCGCACGGGUGCGUAACGCGUGGGAAUCUGCCCUUGGGUACGGAAUAACAGUUAGAAAUGACUGCUAAUACCGUAUAAUGACUUCGGUCCAAAGAUUUAUCGCCCAGGGAUGAGCCCGCGUAGGAUUAGCUUGUUGGUGAGGUAAAGGCUCACCAAGGCGACGAUCCUUAGCUGGUCUGAGAGGAUGAUCAGCCACACUGGGACUGAGACACGGCCCAGACUCCUACGGGAGGCAGCAGGUGGGGAAUAUUGGACAAUGGGGAAACCCUGAUCCAGCAAUGCCGCGUGAGUGAUGAAGGCCUUAGGGUUAGUAAAGCUCUUUUACCCGGGAUGAUAAUGACAGUACCGGAGAAUAAGCUCCGGCUAACUCCGUGCCAG